CUGUCUGCAAGUAUCCUUGAAAGCCA
rnacentral:piRNA from 1 species